CGAGAAAGCCCGCAAGGGUGAGUACAGCGGCGAACGGGUGCGUAACACGUGGGUAAUCUGCCCUGAAGUCCGGAAUAACUCGCCGAAAGGCGUGCUAAUGCCGGAUGAGACCACGGGAGCUUCGGCUCCUGCGGGAAAAGGUGGCCUCUGUAUACAAGCUAUCGCUUCAGGAUGAGCCCGCGGCCCAUCAGCUCGUUGGCGGGGUAAUGGCCCACCAAGGCUACGACGGGUAGCUGGUCUGAGAGGACGAUCAGCCACACUGGAACUGAGACACGGUCCAGACUCCUACGGGAGGCAGCAGUGGGGAAUCUUGCGCAAUGGGCGAAAGCCUGACGCAGCAACGCCGCGUGUGUGAUGAAGGUCUUCGGAUCGUAAAGCACUGUCGCGAGGGACG
rnacentral:rRNA from 1 species